AUUGAACGCUGGCGGCAGGCCUAACACAUGCAAGUCGAGCGAGCGGCGGACGGGUGAGUAAUGUAUGGGGACUGCCCGAUAGAGGGGGAUAACUACUGGAAACGGUGGCUAAUACCGCAUACUAUCGGAUAACCCAUAUGGGAUUGGCUAGUAGGUGGGGUAAAGGCUCACCUAGGCGACGAUCUCUAGCUGGUCUGAGAGGAUGAUGAGCAACACUGGGACUGGGAGACGGUCCAGACUCCUACGGAGGCAGCAGUGGGGAGUAUUGCACAAUGGGCGCAAGCCUGAUGCAGCCAUGCCGCGUGUAUGAAGAAGUCAUUAGGGUUGUAAUGUACUUUCAGCGGGUAGGCUUUUCCCGAAGUAGAAGCACCGGCUAACUCCGUGCCAGCAGCCGCGAUAAUUC
rnacentral:rRNA from 1 species